GACGAACGCUGGCGGCGUGCCUAAUACAUGCAAGUCGAACGCAGUGGGGACGGGUGAGUAACACGUGGGUAACCUCCCAUCAGAGGGGAUAACACUUGGAAACAGGUGCUAAACCAAUCCGGAUGGAGGGAACAGCGGUGCAUUAGCUAGUUGGUGAGGUAACGGCUCACCAAGGCACCGAAGCAUAGCCGACCUGAGAGGUUGAUCGGCCACACUUGGACUGAGACACGGCCCAGACUCCUACGUGAGGCAGCAGUAGGGAAUCUUCGGCAAUGGCCGAAAGCCUGACCGAGCAACGCCGCGUGAGUGAAGAAGGUUUUCGGAUCGUAAAUCUCUGUUGUUAUAGAAGCGGUAUCUAACCAGAAAGCCACGGCUAACUACGUGCCAGCAGCCGCGGUAAUUC
rnacentral:rRNA from 1 species